rnacentral:rRNA from 1 species
CCUACGGGUGGCUGCAGUAGGGAAUAUUGCUCAAUGGGGGAAACCCUGACGCAGCAACGCCGCGUGGAGGAUGAAGGUUUUCGGAUUGUAAACUCCUUUUGUUAGAGAAGAUAAUGACGGUAUCUAACGAAUAAGCACCGCCUAACUCCGGGCCAGCAGCCGCGGUAAUACGGAGGGUGCACGCGUUACUCGGAAUCACUGGGCGUAAAGAGCGCGUAGGCGGGAUAGCAAGUCAGAUGUGAAAUCCUAUGGCUUAACCAUAGAACUGCAUUUGAAACUGUUAUUCUAGAGUAUGGGAGAGGUAGGUGGAAUUCCUGGUGUAGGGGUAAAAUCCGUAGAGAUAAAGAGGAAUACUCGUUGCGAAGGCGACCUGCUAGAAAACAACUGACGGUGAUGCGCGAAAGCGUGGGGAGCAAACAGGAUUAGAUACCCGGGUAGUC